UACGUAGGGUGCAAGCGUUGUCCGGAAUUAUUGGGCGUAAAGAGCUCGUAGGCGGUCUGUCGCGUCUGCUGUGAAAACUCGGGGCUUAACCCCGGGCCUGCAGUGGGUACGGGCAGACUAGAGUGCGGUAGGGGAGACUGGAAUUCCUGGUGUAGCAGUGAAAUGCGUAGAUAUCGUUUGGAACGCCAAUGGUGAAAACAGGUUGCUGGGAGUGUGCUGACGCUGAGACACGAAAGCCAGGGGAGCAAACGGG
rnacentral:rRNA from 1 species